CCUACGGGAGGCAGCAGUGGGGAAUAUUGCACAAUGGGCGGAAGCCUGAUGCAGCGACGCCGCGUGAGGGAUGACGGCCUUCGGGUUGUAAACCUCUUUCAGUAGGGAAGAAGCGAAAGUGACGGUACCUGCAGAAGAAGCGCCGGCUAACUACGUGCCAGCAGCCGCGGUAAUACGUAGGGCGCAAGCGUUAUCCGGAAUUAUUGGGCGUAAAGAGCUCGUAGGCGGUUUGUCGCGUCUGCCGUGAAAGUCCGGGGCUCAACUCCGGAUCUGCGGUGGGUACGGGCAGACUAGAGUGAUGUAGGGGAGACUGGAAUUCCUGGUGUAGCGGUGAAAUGCGCAGAUAUCAGGAGGAACACCGAUGGCGAAGGCAGGUCUCUGGGCAUUAACUGACGCUGAGGAGCGAAAGCAUGGGGAGCGAACAGGAUUAGAUACCCUGGUAGUCCAUGCCGUAAACGUUGGGCACUAGGUGUGGGGGACAUUCCACGUUUUCCGCGCCGUAGCUAACGCAUUAAGUGCCCCGCCUGGGGAGUACGGCCGCAAGGCUAAAACGUCAAAUUGAAUUGACGGCUGNGNGNGCGACGGACGACGACGAGGGAGGAGG
rnacentral:rRNA from 1 species